GACGAACGCUGGCGGCGUGCUUAACACAUGCCAGUCGAACGGAAAGGCCCUGCUUUUGUGGGGUGCUCGAGUGGCGAACGGGUGAGUAACACGUGAGUAACCUGCCCUUGACUUUGGGAUAACUUCAGGAAACUGGGGCUAAUACCGGAUAGGAGCUCCUGCUGCAUGGUGGGGGUUGGAAAGUUUCGGCGGUUGGGGAUGGACUCGCGGCUUAUCAGCUUGUUGGUGGGGUAGUGGCUUACCAAGGCUUUGACGGGUAGCCGGCCUGAGAGGGUGACCGGCCACAUUGGGACUGAGAUACGGCCCAGACUCCUACGGGAGGCAGCAGUGGGGAAUAUUGCACAAUGGGCGGAAGCCUGAUGCAGCAACGCCGCGUGCGGGAGGACGGCCUUCGGGUUGUAAACCGCUUUCGCCUGUGACGAAGCGUGAGUGACGGUAAUGGGUAAAGAAGCACCGGCUAACUA
rnacentral:rRNA from 1 species